rnacentral:rRNA from 1 species
UACGAAGGGGGCUAGCGUUGUUCGGAAUUACUGGGCGUAAAGCGCGCGCAGGCGGUUUUUCAAGUCAGUGGUGAAAGCCCGGAGCUCAACUCCGGAACUGCCAUUGAAACUGUAGAACUUGAGGACGAGAGAGGUGAGUGGAAUUCCCAGUGUAGAGGUGAAAUUCGUAGAUAUUGGGAAGAACACCGGUGGCGAAGGCGGCUCACUGGCUCGUUUCUGACGCUCAGGCGCGACAGCGUGGGGAUCAAACAGG